GGUUUUUUGAAUAUUUAUAAUUUAAGAUUAGUUCUGCUCAAUGAUUUAAGUUAAAUAGCCGCAGUAUUUUGACUGUGCUAAGGUAGCAUAAUCAAUUGUUUUUUAAUUGAGGACUGGAAUGAAGGAAUUGAUGAAAUUAAGACUGUCUAUUGUUAAAUCAUUAAAAUUUAAAUUUUAAGUAAUAAUUCUUAAAUAAAAUUAUGGGACGAGAAGACCCUAUAGAAUUUGAUAUAAUUUUUUAAAAAAUAUAAGUAAAAAUUUAAUAAAAUUAAUAUUUUAUUGGGAGGAUAAUUAAAUUAAAUUAACUUUAAGAUUAAAAUUGAAACAUUAAUUUAUGAAAAAUUUGAAUAAUUUUUUUAAUAAUAAUAAAUAAAAUUAAUAAAAAAUUAAUUACCUUAGGGAUAACAGCGUAAUAUUUUUAAAAAGAUCAUAUUGAUAAAAAUGAUUGCGACCUCGAUGUUGAAUUAAAAUAAAAGUUAAAUGAAGAAGUUUAAUAUUUUA
rnacentral:rRNA from 1 species